GCAUUUUUCUUAGAGAAAGACAAAAUGUAGUACAACUUCCUCAUGCUCCUUCAGUUUGCUCAUGUACUUGACUUCAGCUAGAUGUGUCAUCAGCUAUUUUAUUAAUAAACUGAUGUUUCUUCUAUCCUAACAAACUGCAAAGAGGAAUCUGUUUGGGGGUUACAUUGAUUUUUUAAAAGAACUUUUUUUAGAACUGACAGGAAAAUAAAGCUGAUAUAUUUCCCAAAAUAAAUAGGAGACCCUAGCAUAUUAACACCCCCCUCCCAAGGAAUAUGCAAUUUCCUCCAGCAUUUUCAGAAAAUCAUUGUGUUUGUUCCUGUCUUUUUCUAUAUCUCAUCAAAUCAUGUCUGAUUAUGACUGGGAUCCCUGGUAUUUAACUGUUAUUGAAUGCAGUAAUGAAAGGAACCAUAGAGCUACUUAAUUAUCCACCCAGUAGGUGUCCAAUGGCGAAGUUUCUUUCUAACCUUUUUUCCUCUCUCUCUGAUAAGAUAAUUACUGCAGAUGCAAUUGCUGCUAAUAUAAAUACUCACUGAUUGUAAACUGUGGCCGCGAGGCUCUUUCUGAUAAAGACUCCUCUGCGAAUCGGCAGGAGUGCUAUUGUUCAUUUCUAAACAAAGCAACCUGUGUUUCCACAUGAAGAAUAACUAAGAGGACGAUAUGAAUGUUCAAAGUGAAAGAGUGCCAGAAGUCUUUCAUUAAUGAAAUGGCCUUUGGUAAUUGUGAUCUUGGGGGGGGGCGCUGGGCACCCUUAUUUCUACUCAACUUUUUUAAAAAAUACAUUUUUAAAAAACUAAACAUGUUGCCAAAUUGCUGUAUACAAGGAACCAUGGUGGGUUUGGGGGCAAUGGAAAUGAUGGGAAAUCAGGAUUCAAAAACAUGAGUUUAGCCUCCAUGGAUGUGAUCUCCACAGCUGAUCACUGUUCACAAUGUAGCCAGGGUGCUGGACUGUCCUGAGGGGCAGCCCCAAAUAAAGCAGGAACGUAUCUGUGCACAGAUAACUGACUGGGCUAUCUCUGUCCAAGGGGGGUUGCAGUCUGAUCGUCCUUUGUGCUGCUGAGCCUCAAGAUCUAGAGUUGACUCUCAUAAUAGCACUCUUUGACUGGGUCUUCAGGGAGACUACAAUCCACUCCGCAGACAUACUUCCAGCCAACAACACCUCUGUCUUGUCAGGAUUAACUUUUGGUUCAUGGCUGCUCUGAAACACUGGGGGUGGAAUUCAAUGUUGCGCUAAGGUGGCCAUUCCAUCUGUGCAAGCAUUUCCCCCCUCUCCCCUGUUAACACACUGUUCUGGAGGUUCUCCUGAUUUGGGCAGGCUGUGGUGGCACGUGGGGGAGGCAAAAAAUAGAAGUCCCAUUGUGCAAGUGGGACCCAUUGCGCUGGCUUCUCCUGCUGCAACAACUUGGUGCCUUGGUGUCUUCUGCCUCAUCUGACAGCUGGAAAAGGCAGGCAGAGCAUAUUGAUUAUAUCCAACUCCAUAUUCUUUUUUGACCUUAUAAAUGUUGAACAAUAUGGAGAAUGGAACAGAUCCUUGAGAAACCAUGUCAUGCAAGGGCUAUGGAGCAGAACUAAAGUUCCACAAUAUUAUUUUCUGAAAUCUGAAGUGGAAUCACGGGAAAAACCACUGCCUCCAGUCCACAGAGAGUCUAUCCAGAAGGACAACAUGCUCAGUGGUAUUGAAUGGUGAGAAAGGAACAAGUAGAAUCAACAGAGCUACCCCCCUCCCCACCACCACCACCACCACCCAAUCUUGAUCUCAGUACAAGAUAUACUUCUGGCAAUUUAUUUACAUGCUGAAACUUGCAACCACAAAUUCUGGACUGUAUCAAGAAGGUAUUUACUGUUUAUUUAGAAAUCUUGGUCCAUCAGGCUUAAGGUUAGAGGGGAAAAAUUAUUUCUGUGAAGAGAAAUAAAGGUUAGUAUCAAGGGCUAAUACAGCUACUAACUUCUGUUCUUCUGUCUGACCGGAUAAAUUUCAAGUGCACAUUUUAGUAAAGCUUAAUGAGCUUUUGCGCUGUUUAACAGUGUUGGCUGUACCAUGGUAAUUAGCACUGAGGUGUUAUUCACUCUUAUCCUAAUAAGGGCUUUAUUUUAACCUCUGUAAGAGGUUCUGCUGCCUUUUCUCCCCUCCCUCCCCUUUUUUGCUUCACUGCUUUUCUUUAUUGAACAAGGUAAGCAAUUAAGUAUGAUUGUAAAUGAAAUUAAAUCACAAAAACUGAAUUAACAUGCUGAAACCCAUAAAAGCUGGAAUACCAAUGUUAAAGUUGAACCAGUGCCUUUACCAUCUUAUUUCCCCUUAGCAUUCAAAAUUACACAUUUUCUGCAGCACAACCAAGUGAGAUGGGUGGAGUGGAGAGGAAAUGGGCCCCUCUCUUGCACUCUCCCCCAGCAACCCCUUCUCCCCACCCUCCUAGGCCACUUUCCCCCAUGACCUAGCAAACACACACUUCUGGAGUCCUGUUUGGUGAGGGGAUCAGAUGGAGAAUAGGGUGGCAGGAAGAUGGCAGUGGGCAGAGGUUGGGCAAGGAAGUUUCUCUGCAAAUCACCCCCUCACUCUGCUCCUUCACAACUCUUUAGUAACAGUUUGGUCCUUAAUAUUUCAAAAUGACAGGGGAAAUCCCCAGCUUGCAGGAUGAUCCAGUGGUUGAUCAAGACACCUUUAAUAGUUGUUACCACAUUUUCUGUAGGUUGUACCAGAAGCGUAACAAGCCGCUGGGGUGUGGGGGGCAGGUGUGCAUGCCUCCCAGGGGGGCAUGGCAUGCUGCCAUGCGGCAGGGCAUGCCACCCAUGGGGUGGGGCAAUCUGGGGUGGGGCACACUGCCGGAACUGUGUCCCUCCCAGCACCCUCCAGCAGGACACAGUGUUCGUGCCCUGGCUCAGUGCUGCUAGCAAAAGCAAUACAGGACUUAGGCCCGAGCUGCCACAUUCCUGUGGCGUGCCCUUCAGCUGGAGGGUGGCUGCAGAGGAAGUGACAGGGGGACGUCAGCCCUGUGCUGCUUUUUUGGGCAGCGUGGGGCAGACGCUAUGGCUCGGGCACACUGCUUGCAGGGCCAACAUAUGCCAGUUGCAUCCUGUUCGGCCGCUCUCUGGUGGCUGGGCAGAAUGUAGCAGCUCGAUGCACUACGAGCCUAGCCCCAGACUGCACUGCCUUUGGGAGUGGUGCGCCAGCCUCUUGGGCACCUGAACUUGCGUGUCAUAUUGGGGUUUGGCAUGUUGCCCUCAAAGGUAAGUUCCACUGGCGGUGACCCGCCAACUAGCUAUGCUACUGGGCUGUAAAACCCUCACCCCUUUCUGGAAUUUUUUUAAAGGAUUGCUUAAUUGCACUUGUAUUGAUUUUGUAAUGCAGUCUUCCAGCCAAGUAAUGUAUGUAUAUUUGGGUAAAGUGUAAAAAUGCAUGUGAACUAUGGCUAACCUGAUCCAAAACACCCACCCACCUCACUCACACACGAAAACAAAGAUCACCACAGCCAAUCACAAGCAAACAAUCACACCCUAGGCCAACCCCAACCUCUCUCACCACCAAAGGAACACAAGUGAACAACACAAGCAACGCUGACACCAAACUCUACAUACAUUAAACAUAAUAGAAACACCGCCACCCGACGCCACCCCCAUCCAUCUUCCCUCUCUCCACCCCCCUUUCUUUUUUCCUUUUUUUCUUCUCACCCUAAUGCCUCAACAAAAGAAACGGAUUUGUAAAAAUGUUAC